UUUCUUUUCCCUACCACUAAUCUUUUUCCCUACCACUACUCCUACCUCUCCACCACACUACUCCUUUUCCCCCACCACUACAUUCUUUCUCCCACUCUCACAACUUUUCUCCCACCAUUAUCACACUCCAUAGAAGCCUUUGAAGCCCCAAGAGAAGUAGCAAAGCAAGGGAGAGUGUGGGAAAACUAUAGAGUGAAGGUUGUGCUUCGAGGGUCCGGGCGACAGAAAGUGAAGCCGAAGAAGAAACGACUCCACGCCAGCUUUAAGAACAAUUGAGGUUGAGCAGGCGAUGGAAUGGAUCGGUGUUGAGCGGAUUUCCCUUUUGAUGUUUAUGUAAUGAAACCUUGAGUAUGCAUCUCCAUAUGCAUAACUCACACGUUUUUUUCGCUGCAAACACUCUGACUUAUUUAUCAUUUCUACUUGAACUUAUUACUACUUCAUUUUAAUUAACUUUCAGUUGGGGUCUAGUCGUUAUGGCAGACUCAUUUGUGAAUUACCCAAGUGGUUAUAUAUAUAUACCACUAGUUUGUUAUUAA